AAGGUGUAUGAACCUUAGUGACAGUACAAACCACAAUAUAUUAUUCAUAACUUGAUACGCAGUCGUGUUACACGUGAAUAAUUAAAUACGUUUUCAAUAUGUUCAUUAGCCUUUAAAUUAUUUCUCAUAUAAACGUGUCAUUGUUGUUAUAAACAAGUGGAUUUUAAGCUUAUAUAUAGCAGUGUUUACGUUGAAAAUUUAAAAGACAGCGUUGAAAAUCAAACGACAGCAGUUGCGAUAAGAUCUAAAAAGAAGGUUAUAGUUAUAGGACACUUCAGUACUGGGACACAGGUUAGUGCUGUAUGAUGUUUACUAUACACCAAGGUUUACUAAUUAGCGGCAAUAGUUGAUAACUUGAAAGAAAAAGUAGAGUAAAAUAAAGAAGUUGUAAAAUAAACGUCAUGGCGGCGAAGAAGCUUGAUAAAAACCCGGAAUUCGACCACCGAAAUUCAAUCGCUCUGGUAGACACUGCGGAGGAGCUUGUGGACAGCCUUGACAAUCUGUCGGUGUGCUUGAAACACAACGAGGAGAAAUACGUGGAGGUUGUUCACUAGAAUCUGCGGAGUGAAACAAAACACGUCCACCAUUUCCAUGAACGCCCCAAGUGCUAAGGAUUCCUCGCUGUCGGCAUUCGCAAGCUUCACCUUUAAAG